UUCCUCCAAACCACGUGGCUUCUUUUAUGGCAGUUUUCACAGUUUCCUUCUUUCCUUCAAGUGAUGUCUUUGCUUGUAGCUUAUUUGCUCGGGUACACGCCUUCCCGCCUGCUACGAAAAGUUUUACUUGUGUAUAUGCUUUCGGUCAUUUGCGCUUCUCUUAUAAUGUUUGGAAACGAAAUGCUUUUCAACUCAAUUCUUCUUCAUUCGUUGCUUGUCUGCUUUGCUAUAACUUUUUUGUUUGAGAAUCUUCAAGCAGUUUUCUAUAAUAAGACUGGAUUUCUUUAUUUUUUUAUCAAUAUUGGAUUCUCCGC